ensembl:lncRNA
GUAAAAAUGAGCCAUGGACACCACAAUCAAACAAGUGUGAAAAACUGCACAUUUGAAAUUGCCUGAACUCAGGGCAACUUCACCACUCAGGUCUGAUCCUGCCAGGAAAAUGUAACCUGUUAGUUCAAAGUGGUUGAGAGGAAAAGGGUCAACUGUUGGCAGGUGCUGCAUGCAGCACAGCUGACGUGGCCCUCCACAAUCUGCAACAAAAGGUGUCAGGAAAGUCAGAGCUCCUCUCUCAGAUCUUAAAACACGAGAAGAACCACCUACAUGUUUGCUGUAAUGAAGAAGCCAGCUGUCUCUGUGAUGGCCCAACUGCUCCAACAAAAGGUCCUUCUUUGAUUUUGUUCUUCCACCAAGCUCAUCAGAAGAGCUACUGAAAUCUUCCAAAGCCUUUUCUCAACCUCAAAGUGUGAGAUGAAGAUGCCAUUUUAAUUGUGGAUUAGCGAGAUGUGCUUGAGUAAAACAACCCCAAACGCUGGGAUGCAAUUGCAUAAUAAACACUACUGUUACAGCAGAGUCUAAAUGCUCUGCUUGCACCAGUGAAGAGCUGCUGGUUCAUUACACCAAGCUACAGGAGCUGCUGUUUGUAUCCUCAUAAGGUGGAGUAUUUGAUGGCAGGACUGCUACAGAUGGUUGACCCAGUAUUCAGCCACUGAUUUCUGAUCAGCAAAACUUAAAAGCAAAGAUGCUGUCAGUGUGUUACUUUUCUUCAUAGCUUUCUUCAGGAUAACAAUUUAUUUUUCUCCUUGAUUUGUUCAAGGAUGCCAUACCUAAUUUUAAGAAAGGAUUUGGAUUUUAAUAUGCUAUGUAAACCUGCUUAGCAAAAGAAGUAGUAAGGACAGGACUUGUAUGAACCAAGUGGCUUUGUCUGACACAACAUCCCGAAGAUGACAGCAGUUACGUUGCUAUCCUGCAGCCUGAUUGCGGGUGCACAGGGCAGGGGAAGGCCUGAAAAAGGCCAGAAGAGGAAGGCCACAGAAAGGCCAAAAGCAGCCACAGCUCCUGCUGGCUGCUCAGACUAGGUUUAGACAGGAGGCUCCCAGGCAGACCACAUGGGAAGCACCAUUAUGUCUCAUCCCAUGGGGAAAUAGUUUGCUGAAUCACACUAAAAGGUCUGUGGCAGCUAGUGGAGCUUCCUUUGCCAGUUGCAGGGUCCCCAGGUGCAGCUCUGUGCCUCUCCUGCUGUGCCUCCAUGCUGGUGUGUUUGGGUCUGUUUUUCCACUCCCUUCUCUGCUCAUCUUAUAUAUAGAUAAACUAUUGUUUUACACUUAAGGAACAUGUAUUUCUGUUUCUUUUGCUUCCCAACCAUCUUUAGACUAAAUGAAUUCUGAAUGGAAAAAACAUAAAUGUCAUUUCAAGCAGAUACCUGCCUCAGUAAGCCUGCAAAAGCAGCUUAUUCACUCAAACUCAUACCCCACACAUGAAUAUAGCUGUACCUGCAUAGAGAGGACUCUUUGCCUGAGUGUUUGCUAAGGAACAUUUGGCAGGCAGGGACACCACCUAGUUGGUUUAUAGUUUUUCAGAUACGAGGUUAUUUACAUUUCUAGCUAAAAGGCAUUUCUGGGGCUGCUCAUAAAAUGAAACACACACAGAUUCAAAAACCUAAAGGAAAAUAUAAAGGUGCAAAGAAGAGUAACUUAAAAAAAAAAAAGCAGAGUUUGAAUCAGCUUGUAGGAAAAUAUAAGCCCUCAAGAUAGUGAAAAACUCCACAUGGGAUACUCUCAGGAAAACUGCUCAAAUUCAUCUCUACCAACUGUGCUGAGGGUUUGGGGAGGUCAGCUCUUUGCACAGCCAGGACCAUGCUUUGCCUUUCACCCAAGGUGCUCAUCAGGACUGGAAACCAAAACCUAUUUUUCUGACAGGUCAUGAAUUAAGUAACUGCAGCUGGAUCUCUUUCCUUCUGCUAGCAAUCUCACAUGGAAGCAAUAAAAUUACUGGCACUAUAAAUUAGUUCUAGAUGUGUUAUUUUUCAGUGUUGCUAGAUAUUUUUUCUUUGGUGGAAGUAAGUUCUGUAAUCAGGGAGCACCCACCAGCAUUAAAAGGAGAUCACAUCUAGAACCAGAGGUCCCAGUUGUUACAACACAUUUUAGCGGUUCUUUACCUAUGCUAACACUCUGCUAGAGCAGUCCAUCUAAUAGUAGCAAUAACAAACAACAAGAAAAAAACUUAUACGAUAAUUAAUAUAAAUGGGACAACAUUGUUCGCUAACAUUUUUAAGCCCCAUUAUGGUUGACUCACCCAUGAGCAGGUCUGGGUCUACAGCAAAGGAAAUAGUAAGUGCGUGAUUGAACAAUAGGAAGUUUCGACUUCAAAAAGUGUCUGCACUACACUACCUGAAAAUCAAGCUCAUGCUUCUGAAAUUCCCACCAAUACUUUGUCCAAUCCUUCCUGUUCUUUUUUUCUCUCUACAGUCAGCUGAGCUGCUCUAAGAUUAUUUUCCUGUAACUCUCAGCACAACAUGUAGGUACAGAAGGCACGGUGGGUAAGCACUGAGGACAUCUAACCCACAGGAGAUUUAGCCUUUGUUCCCCAUGAGAAAUGGAUACAACACCAGCAUGCGUGGACUCUGAAUCCUAGCUUUAAUUAGAGAGAAGGUGAAAUCAGAUGAACCUACCUCUGCUUAAACACUAGCCUUUCCUCAGUGUCUCUCUGCUUUUCAGAAUAGUAUUCUUCUUCCUGUUGGUGACCAUGUAUGUAGGUACAGGAUCUAAACGCUUUUCCACUGAAAUCUCAACAUCUGCAUGUUGUCUACCUCUCUAUCGACAGCUUCCAAUAAAAGCUUCCUUUAAUAGAGUUGUCCUGACUCACAGGUGUGGGGGGAGAGAAGCUGACCUCGCUGCUGCAUCAAGAGUGUCUGACGCAUUUUGAGAGGCUGUGGUUUCAGGUCUAAAAGAAUUCAGCUUUGUUUUCAACAAAGUUUUAAAAGCUCAGCUUCCAAAAUAUCACCCCAUAGCUUCGUGUCAGUUUGCAACUCAAUUUUGUUCAGUGGUUCAAUACAGCAAUAUUUGGGGCUUUGGCCAUACACUUGGCAGAUCAGCAGCGCUCACCAGCAGAAGAGUUUCUCAGAAACACAGCCACCCAGGCUCCUGGCUGGCUCCACCUCUUGUCCGCCCACUCCCAGUUUCAGACAUUUCACAUUCCAAAACUGGAAGUGUCUAUGCAACAUAAGGUCACAGUAUUACACAACGCACCCCGCUCCUUCUAAGAGCUACUGCAUCCUCAAAAGUACACCAACCACAACAGCAAGGGAGCUGUUUACAAUGAAUUUCUAUCUGAGUGGGAGUGUUUUCUCCGAGAAUCUUAUAACAAGGACAUGAAGUGUAUGACUCUUCCCUGUGUUUGGUAAAUUUUCUCCUGAGAUGGCACUUAUUCAAUACUGCUACAUCUGCAUUCCUUCCUCUUUAAGCUGCCCUUUUAAAAAUUGGGAUUUAAUUUUUACACUUCCCCUAAGUAUUUGUAUGCUGGAUAAUUUUAGCACAUGCUAAACAGAACAAUUUCUGUCUAUCUUAAAUUUAGAACUGAGGACAUUUGUAGCUUUCGCAAUGCAACCAUGAAAUACAACUGAUUGAUGCCAAUGUGGGUUUUGCUAAAUGCUUUUUUAAAAUUAUUAUUUAAAUAAUUGAAUGGUCCGAAUAACUUCUAUGAUCAUUCUUUCACAUGGUCUUUAAACUCUAACAGGUGAGUGAAAACUCCAGUUUCAGUUCCCAGUGCAGAACAUUUUACCUAAUACAGUGGGUGAAAAGUAAGACAGGUUUUGGCUUUUUUUCCCCCAGUGAGGGGGUAGGUAGAAAUGGUGUCGUCGCAUUCUAUCUUUAAAACCAUGUUCAGCUUUUCAGCUACAGUUAAGACUUAGCUGUUAGUAUGGCAACUGUAUUUGACUUUCUCUUGAAUGCUAAAGAAUUAUACAGUUAUCCACGAAAGGCAUUUUUUUACCUAUUUAAAUAAGUGGCCAAACUGCAUGGAGCAACUUCUUUCAAUUCAGGCCUGUUUCCUUUGCCUCCAGCUGCCUGGGGCAGUUGAGCAGGGGGAAGCAGAAGGGCUCAGGGCUGCAGAUGCCAUCCAGCAAUCUCAGGUAAGAACAGGACUGCUGGUGGCUGACACUCAGAAAUCCGAUUCAGGCCACCUAGAUAAAACUACGAUGGCAAAACCACAGAGUGAGAGGGUAUGAGAAACAAAAAGAAUCCUAUGAAAGGAGCAGAAUAAGGGCUGAGGAGGUCUCUUGCACUUCUCAUUUCACUAGCUGCACUGGCACCGUGCUUUGCUGGGGGAAGAGGUAGCAUGGGACUUUUGUUCUGAGUCAUUCAUUUGGAAGAUAUAACAUGAUUAAGAGUCAACUGCCCUUCAUCCCACGGAAGAGAUACUUAAAACUGAGCUAAUGGUUUAAAGUUACUUAGCUCCUCUUUGGUGCCUGUGCAAGCAAAAGGUUAGACUGUAAUGUUUAACCACAGCUCCCAUGUAUUUCCGAGAAGCACAGGGGAGACCACCUGAAGGAAAGUCAGACAUCUUCCAUGCUGUUUCCUGUGUACAUGAGGUGGAGAAACCUCUGCCAGCCUCCAGUCUCGUGUAGACAGAGAGCUGCCUCCCAUGAAGUAGCUGUCACACAGCAUGCUUUCCUUCUGUGGGACACGCUAUCUUUGAGGACAGCAGGAACUAGUGUUCUGUGCAUGCCACCUGCCAUGAUCAGUACAUGUGCAAGAUUGUCACUGUGCAAUACAGUCAAAAGGUUUGGUGUUUUCAGUAGGAUUGGCAGCAUGUCUAUAUAAAAAGUAGGAUGAAGAACCCAUGAGGGACAGCAAGAAAAAGUUUAAUAAGUCUGGAGACACCAUACAUUAAGGAGAAUACACCAUCUAUUACAAACCUUGAUGAACUAUUCAAAGGGCUGCUUUAAAAAGUAAAAGUAACAUUUGCAAUAUAUGCGUUCAUGAUUUUAACUUUCAUCCAUAAGAGGUCACUGUGUGAUUCAAUGAACACCUUGGUGUCAGCAGCAUUCCCCUCCCUUCCCACAUGCUCAGCACCAGGUGUCCAGUCAUCUCCAGUAACGUCCUAGCUAUUAUCCAGCUGCCUUCUGUAGGGACAGAUAGAGCAAUAAAGCAAGAACUGUGUAGGUGUCCUUCAAGCACUUUGAUCGCAUGACCUUAGCCAAUUUUACAGUUACUUGAAUGUACUUACUUUCCAUUCCCCAUUAAUCUCAAAUGGAUCCAGGAGUUUUACAACCACUGUGGACAUUUUAAAUAACUGGUUAAAAAUAUAGAAAAAUUUGGGAGACUGAUGCUGAGCAGCAAAGAUACAAGCUCCCAGGCAGGCAGUGCAUUACCCAGGGACUGCAGACUCAAUUUUUUUGGCCUGUUUCAUCAAGCUAACAUUGCUUUCUAGUAGUGAGUAGAUGUUUUCACCAGGGUGACUCCAAUGUACAGUGGGGACAUGUAGGCCUGUCAAGGUCACCUGCCAGUAGGAACUUUUAAGGCAUUAAGUUUCUAUAUUGCCAUUUGCCAUGAGAUGAGAAGGAAUAAUAGACAGAUGCAACUUAAUAACAGCUGAAACCACGCUAGCACACUUCAAUUCAUCUAGUAUCUUCUGCAUGGAUUAAGGUGACUUAAAGGGAAGUAGUUCAUUCAGAGAUUUCCAUGAGAAAACAAAAGCAAAAAAUAAAAAUCAGCAAUACAGAAAUUUUGCAGUGGAAAACUUGUUCUUCUGGAAAUUCCUCUUUCAAUUGAUAAUCUGCUUUUAUGGGAAGUUCCUCCAUAGCUCUAGGCACAACCCUCAUGCUGAGAAGUUUAAAAGCAGCCUUUAUCUGCUGUGCCCCCAUCAGAUAAACUGAUGGACUGGAACCCUCCUCCUUGCCUUCCUCCCAUGCAAACACCAAAGUGCACAAGCAGGGUCACUGCAAGUACAACAGCAACUGUGCAGCCACAGUAACUCACCUAAUUACAGACAAGCAUGUGGAGGGAUGUUUGAAGGCCUGAUCUUUUAAUGUCCCAAAUCAAGAUUAAAUGCAGGCUCUUAUGCAUAAGCUGCCCUUAAUGCUGUGAUACUGGCACAGCUGCCACCGACUUCAGCAAAAUUUUCACUAACACAAGGGAUUGCAGGCAUGGGAAAGUCUUAAACAAAGCUCCUUAGAGCUUGACUGCACCAAAGACAGGGAACCUGCACCUGACUUUUACAUUAUUAUAUGAAUACACCUAAAUCAUGGGUGCAACUCCAUCGCUGUUGUUUUACAGUGGCCUAAACCACUCAGUCAGGACUACACCCUCCAUAGAUAGCAUUACAAGGAGAAAGACAAACAUUUUUAGUGAACUUGCUAAGGGUCUUGUAAAUUUUCUUCAGGAGUAAGAAUCUUCUUUACAGAGGGAUAUUAGAAAAGGAUAAACCAUUCACUAUAAUGUAUUUUCUAUCAAUCACUUUAGCAUGAAUCAUCAUAUUGUGUAAACAGGCUAGAGAUCAUAUUUAUGGCUGAACUGGAAGUAUUUCAGAAAGUCAGAGGAAUAAGAAAUCUGUUAGGGCAGGCAGUCCAGAAAGAGGUACUGAGUCCCUAAGUCAUUCACCUAAACUUCUAAAGUGAUUUACAAUAAUUCCACACAAGCCCUGUGUUUUCACACCAAUGCAUUUUUAACCCCAGAUAAAACAUGGAUCCCUUUGGGAGAAGAAAAAAAGUGAAUUCAGGUGGAAAUCUUGGACUCAUCUUCACAACUUACAACUGCGUAUCUUGCUUGAUUCCCGAUUACCUUCUGGCCUAUGCAGGCUAUCCAACAGAAGAGUGAUCCAGUAACCCCAAAACUGAGUUAUGUGGAGGAGCUUGGGGCAGAAGCAGCUGCCUGCCUGCCAUUGCAGGCUGUGAGGUGAGGGAAUGGACACAGGCCACUGCUCAGCUGCUACACUGACCUUCAGCUAUGCUGAUCUGUGUUCUGAAUGUGCCCUCAGGCCACACUCGUGUUUCUGAGCUGCAUGCUUUCUUGGCUAUAUGCAACACUACACACUGAGUUCACACGCUUGCACAGCCCCUUGUCUGUACUGCACAUGAGCUCCGCAGGUUCCUCACUGCUCCAAAUUGCAAAAUGGCGAGCCUGUUACAUCAGGUUUACUACUGCUCUGCACAGAAGGAGCACAGCAACAACACGUGCUCACUAAGAUGUGCUGCAUGGCUGCAAAAAUGUUACAUGCUGAAGUGAGAUUACUGAGAUUGGUUAAAAAAAUCCUGCCUCUACACCAAAAUGAGUUGCACCUUCAGAACACUGUAGUAAUAAAAUACAGUCACAAUGAAAACGUUACUGAUACAUCCUUUUUCACUGAAGUGGCAUGAAGGACGUUUAUUUUCAGCGAGAUGUCUGAAGGAAUAACCCACAUGCUAGAUAGAUAGUGUCAUGCUAUGCAAGUUGUCUUUUCCAGUAUCUAGCAGAGAGAGCUCUACUGCACUGAAGCACGUGUGGUAAGAGCAAUGGGCCCAGGCUCUUCUUCAUAUUCUCGGCAUACCUGUUGCUAUCACACAGCUGCUCUCAAGUCUACAAUUUCCUGUGCAGUACAGACUGCAUACCACUUCCCCUACAGAAAAAAAAAAAAAAAAGAAAAGAAAAAAAAGGAAAAAAAAGCAUUGCUUGCUUUUAAUUGAUGAUGGAAAUACUGUCAUAUUUUCCACUAGCCAAGCUUGAAACCACUACUGAAUGAACCUUCAUUAAUUUUUCCACAACAUUUUGCAGAAAUGUCAGGAAACAGCUGCACCAGAAAUGAUUAACUGUCCUUAUCACUCGUGUUUCAUUGGCCAACUUGAAAUUAUAUAGUUUUUUCUUCUUCCAAUACUCAACAUUCAAUGACUUUUUUUUUGUUAUUCUUCAGUUGAAUAUCUCAACACACCACUUUUUCUUCAGAACUAUCCAGUUAUGCAGGCUUAGUGGUACACAGACAUUUUAGGAUCAGUGGAGGAAUUUAUACAGUUUGGAGUUGCAUACUUCUAGGAAAAGAUUUCUUCCUGCAGAUCACUCAGCUGUGUCUUUCUUGGAUCAAAUUCAAUUAAAUUCACAAGUCAGAUCGUAUUUGCCGGUCAGACCAAAUUCAUUACACAGACAAACUUCUCUUGCUGUGUCUUCCUUCCUCUCCUGUUCUACUCUUUCCCUUUUUCCUCUUCUCUCCCCACACUUUAUUUCUCACCUCUUCUUCGAGUUAUACCACAUGUCAUAGCUUAUCAUACAGUGCCCUGUAUGUUUUCUGGCAAAUACAACUGGAAUAGUGUGCUUCAUAAUUCCAAACAUGCAGCCACUGAGAUGCUGAAGGCUUGGUACAAAAUGGAGUGCAGCCAUCUGGAGAUAACUGCUAGCAUAGAUCUGAGAUUCCUAGCUGGCUAAAACUUUGCAGCCUUAGAACUUAGCAAAGUAUCUAUGAGCAAAAGAAUCCUCUGACACACAUUUGCACACUGCAGUGGAUAACAUGUAUUUUCAAAUAUUCAAUAUAUUCAAAUACUUUUCAAAACCUUAUUUUCUUCAAAUUUCUGAUGAGAGCACAGCCACAAGAAGCAAGCUUCACAGGAUUACUUUUAAAGACCUACGUAACACAGAAGGUUCUUGUUUACGUUUUGAAAUGUUUCAUUUAGCAUUACUACACCACAUCCCCCGUUAAAUUAAUUCUGCAUAUUUGUCAUCAGCAAAUUUAAAGCUGCAGUUGCUCAAUCUGUGUCUGCGUUGAAGCUAUGGGCCUUGCAUGUGUAAUCUCGGGAUAUGACAGAGGGAAAUGUGCACGUGAAAAGGUGUAUACAUGUACUAGAAGGUACGUAAAAACAAUCCCACCAGGUGUGGUUCAAUGUUAACAACAUUAUGACAUCCUAUCUGCAGCAAAAAGUGGAUUAUUUAAAUAAACUGGAUAGGCACAUAAAUGGAGGUUUACCUAGGCAUUAUAGAGGAAGAAUUCUUCAUGAUGCCUGUUAUUCCCUAUGAUUUGCAUCCCUUGCUUUUUGAAAUGGUCUUUCUACAGCAGUGUGCAUGGCAGAACACGAUUCACAAGCAGCUCUACUCAGAAAGAGCCAGAUUCCGAUGUCCUUACCUGUGCUAGGUAACCUCAUGAAUGUCUUCAUUGUUUUCAGCAGGUUUACAGCUGUCAAAAUCUGGCUCAGGAUCUCUAACACGGGUCAGUAUUACUAUUAAAUUGGUGCAGUGCUGGCUACGAAACAGAUCUGUUUUUAAAUUACUCCAGCAAGAUAUUUGCUUAGAUAGCAGAAACAGCAGUACACUACAUUCUAUUGAAAAUAUCUAUGAAUAUAUAUGGAUUCUAUUUACAAUAAAUGAAACACUGCCAAAAGUACCAAAUUUUUUUUUAAGGAUUCAGUUUUACAAUAUGCAAUGCUGGAUUUCUCCUUCACAAUAUCCUUAUCUGUCUCUGUUCUAGUUUAAAAGCAGUAGCUUGCAGUGUCAGAGGAUUUCAAGGACUGUGUCUCUCCAAUGCGCGGCAUGUUAAUACACUACCCACUAUCGAGUGCAGGGAGACUGCAAGUCAUAGUGUCCAUUUCUGCCUCUGCCAGAUGUUUUCAAGUAUCUUUCUUCUACCUCAGACUGUCAGAAAACUGGCAAAUAAAUGUGUUGCCCCUGUACUCUUCUCAGGGAAGAAGAAACGUGUUUUUCUCUCUGACUAAUAGUGGGAAAAGAAAUGAGUGUUCUUCUUUCUCGCUGCAUUUGCACGUCUUGAGCUGAAACCACCACCACUGAAGCACAGCCUCCUGUUCACACAUUCAGCCACGAGCAGCAGGAUCUAGGGGUAAUGCUAUAACAAAAAGAGAGACCUUGAACUUGCUUCACCUUUUGCAUAGUCAUUUAUAUUUGGGCAAAGUGGAUAACAGCUCCUUUAGCACUAGCGUAGUGGCAUUUUAUGCUCGCCAGGCAUUCACUUUACCCAGGUAUAAAUAGCAAAAGGUUUCAGACAGUAGGGAAUCGGGACCAAUAUCCUCAAAGGAUUCUCAGCCAAAAUAGAGCAGCUAGUCCUGCACAUCACAGCUUGUGCAAUCGCUCUCUGCUGCAAGAAUCAUACCCUGCAGGGCACCCGGGACUGCUGGUUUGGCAGCAUUGCGUGCUCCUGUCUUCAGGGGAAACGCGCCUUCCUAUCGCCCUGCAUCUAGCAGUGGGAUCAAACUGCAAGUUCACACUCAUAAAGCAGGCAAUAUAGGCUUCAGUUUCUUAAUGUGAUCCGUCCAUUAGCUCAUACAGCAUAUUUACUACUCUUCCAGUAUUAAGUGCUGGCUUUAAUGUCCUUAGCACACACGGUAGUGAUAUGUACUGUCACAGUUACAAUAACAUUUAUCUGACUUAUGUUAAUUGAGAGCAUUUAUUCUAAAGUUUAGCAGUCCCAAAUGAAAAAGUAAAGACCAUUACUAGGCUGACACAUUAUAAGGGGAAUUUUCAGCAUACAGGAGAGCCACAGCAACAAGGGCCCAAUGCGUAGAAGUACCAUUACGUUACACACUAAUGAAACCUGAAGAAUCAAUGCUCGAAGCCCAUUUUAGAGGAUGGGCACCAAAGUUCUCAGUUUUACACUUAAAUCUUGCCUGGUGAGUUGGGACAUGGCUAGUUUUUCAUACUGCAGUAUUCCAAAACUCCUUCUUAUAAAUUUCACACACUAUUAAUGCUUCCCAAUCUGGGAGCAGAGCACGGGGGUGCAUCAGGACAGUUUGCUUCCCUGCUGAACUUUCACUGUAAAUUCUACAGGCGAGGACAAUGAAUUGCUUUUGCCAGCAUGUUCCCUGGUAACACUCUUCUCAUCCAGCUCUGAUCCUAGGCUACAUGGGAAGAUGUCUCAGCUCUCAGAGACUGCAGAGGGGAAAUAGAGCGAUGCAGAUUGACACAACUUUGAUGUGGAUCCAAAGGAAGAAAUAUCCCAUAUAGCACCACUGCGGACUGUGGAAUAUUUGGGACCAGUUCCAGGUAUGAGAAAAGGUUUAAGCCCAUUUCAAUUUAACCCCCUCCACUCCCUCCUUCAGUUCAUACAGAAUGAAAUAUAGGUCCAAUCCCAUUUACAGUUCUGAAAAAACAAUAGAGUUUUAUGUCAAAAUACACUAUGCGUUUUCUUUAAACACCUUCUCCUGAGAUCAUCAUAUAGCAUGAGAACAUCUGAUGUCUUCUGUACAUGUCUAGCUCUCGGGGUUACAUAUAAAUGGUAAAAAAUGUAAAACAGAGAGGGCCAAUGAGAAGGAUGAAAUAUUUUCCUAACUUUUCACUAUUUUAAGUCAGUCAUGUUAAAUUCAGAAGGCUAACAUAACUCUCUGAACACCAAGGAUGUGCCAGUACACAGAAGAUUAAAGAAGAGGAGAUUCUCAGUAUUGCAACAAAGUAACUCUGCCUUUAUGGUACAGGCCCUGAGACAAAGCUUAUGUGAAACCUGUCCAACCUGUAACUACCAACUCAAACAUGGAGCUGCAAUGAGCAGCAGAACACAGAGCUUUUCCGGACAGCAUACACUGGCCUCUGUAGUCUAUUAUGUCAUAGAUAACUGCUACGGAGAAUCCGCUAACUGUAAGCUAACUUGAGUAUUGUGAUACUACACUGUCAUCAUUUUCACAACUGUAGUUUGCAUGAACCCACGUGUUCAAGACCCAGAGGAAAAAAAGAAACCUUAAUCACAGUAUCAUCAAUGGCGCACUUGAAAUGGUGAGAUGAUCCAAACAGAUCACCAGAUUAUAAUUCAAGGCCAUUUAAAAAUUAAAUAAUAAUUAAAAAAAAAAAAAGAAACCACAAUACCUCUUUCAGAUAUCAAAACCUCAUCCACCAUUUUUUUCUUUUAUUUUAGACAAGUACAUUUUUCUGCCUAUUCUUUCAAAAAGCGUGCUCCUUGGACUCUUGAAGCAAGAACUGCACAAAGAAGGGAAAGUGGCAAACCAAAUAUAUGGUCAAAGCAAAGACAGCACUUCUGAAUUAAUAAAAACAUAACCUUUCCAGAAAGAGAGAUGCCUCUGGUUUCACCAAGAGGUGACAAAAGGACAUGUAAUCAGUUACUAUUUAAGUGUGAAUGACUUCUGGUUGAAGCCCUCUGAGAACAAAAAAAUAUUCACUGAGGCCUGCUCCCCAAGUUCAUUUGAACCCAUCCUUUCCUUGUUCUCCUACCUGUCUGCUGCGGUCAAAGGUGCAAGUGAAUAAUGGUUCCAGUCAAGGCAAUUUGGUUCACCACUCCAGCAAAUACGGCUGUCCACACUCUCCUCCACCUAUUUAGAAAACAAACACGAAGGAUUUUUAAGGACUUUUGCCAAGUCAUCUUGCUAUGGUAUUGGCUACAUUAAUACAAAUAGGAACUUCAGAGAGCCAGACACUGUCCUUCUCGCUCCCUAGGUAUUUCUCCCUCAGAGCAAUGUGACACCAGAAAUCAGUAUCAGUUCUGGGGAUUCCACCUUGCAGUUAUCUACAAUGCAUGUCAACUAAAAAUAUUCUGAAGUGAAAACUAGACUCACAAGACCUAGACCAAAAGGUAUAUACAAUGAUUUACUUUCAGACAUACAAAUACACCAAGCAGAAUAAGCAUAGAAAGUAUGGCAGUGCCUUGGUAGUAUGGUAACAUAUGUGUUUUUAAUAAGAUGUAUUUUUAAUUAAACACAAGUAUUUUCCUGUCUUUGAAUCAGAGCGGUGCAAGUAUCUCGCAUGCCACUUCUUUGCUGCCUGGAACUGUGCUCUAAAAGUGGGAUCACCCCAUGAAUACUGAGACAAUACACCAUCAGUGAUCUCCUAGGGACCAUAUAAUCAAACAGCUGUGAAGCACAGAUAACCACAGGCCACAUUUUUCUCGGGAUCCUUUCUUCCAGGACUCCCUAUGUCCUUGAAGACGUGUACAUGAAAUGCUACUGCAAACUACGUGCCAGGGAUGAGCAGUGAGGUGCUCACUCCAGGGUGGAUGUGCUCCUGGAAAGAAAAGCACCCUCAGGGAGAUCCUGGAGAGUGACAUGAUGGCACAUAGUCCCAGGGAGAGAUCUUGUGUGUCUUUUUCCUGCCCUUUGCCCUGCCAUGCUCCACAGUGCAUGGACAUGACGCUGCUGGCUGUCUACCCUCAUGGGGCAGCUGGGUCACCGCAGCAGGAGAGCUACCCAUUCCUCGAGGACUUACAAACAUUCUGGACAGAGGCCUCUGACAGGAAAAUGCCCAACUCAGCAAGCUAGACCUGUAGAUUGAUGGCCAUGACCUAAUCGUAUCCCUACAGAAGCAAGCAGCAAACCUCUCUAGGUUUUCAUGAGCACAAGGCCUGCCCGCACUGCCCUGUGCACUGGCAAAGACUGACCAAUGUGCUACGGGCGAAGCCUCAUAACUCCGUGAUUUCGUCAUCAGCAGAGUGCAGAUGUGAGCUGAGGGAAACAGUGCCAAAAUGUGAAUGUUGAGGAAGGUCUGGAAUGAGUUAGUAAGAAAAGGCAUAUGCUUAUAUUUUCUGCUGUAAUGUUUGCUAUCAGCAACAAAAACAAAUAUCAAAUGAUAAUGUGUUACUAACUGGCAGUGUCAACAGUGGUCUAUAUAGGCAUCUGAGUAUAUAAAAUAACAUAUGCUCUGGCUCCAGACCCUAACACUUUAUCACAUCAAUAUACAGCUUUCUAGGAAAUUAAUCUGGAUGCAGAGCCAGGAACCACUUUUCAAUCUCCGGGCAGACAGGGCCCAAUAUGCUUUUAAUCUAUGGGUGAAAGCAGGGCAAGGCUGGACUCAAGGGCAAAACCCUGUUUAUAGCAGAGCCAGUAUUUCACUCUCUAUUUUUACAACUAGACUGAGAAAAGUUCCUGUCAGAAAAGAAAGCAAAGCAAUAAAGAAACCAUGAGUUGUUAUUAGCCCAUUCUUCAGUAAAACCUAGGGGUGCUCCAAAUUGCAUCUUGCUUCUCCUGGUAAUAAACAGAUAUCCUCCAGCCCCUAAGCAUGCAGCCCCACACCUUACACUUUCAGAGAGGCCUAACUGGCUUUAAUGACAAUGGUCACACUUGCACAAAGUUGUUCUUAAUGAAUAUAUAUUACAAAUCUGUUUAUGCAGUCUCCAACCCAAAGACAAGGGGGCCAUUUAUGGUAAAUCCAAGCAGGAGCAGAGGGGCAUUCCAUUAAAAGACAACAAAAUCACAAGGGAAAUAUGCCAUUUACAAAAUCAGCUUUUAACCGAUGGGAGCCAGCGUAUUUCCCCAUGAGGUAGACUUCUCUGUCUUCAGCAGUGUUCCUCAAAAGAUAUACCAGGAUCUGAUCCAAGUGUGAAAGACUCCCACUGACUUCAGUGAAGGUUGGAUCAGUUUCCGAGUAUUUAAAAAGCUUACCCUUUACUUAUAAUUAGGUUAAAUAUUAUUCAAAGCAAGAUCUGUUUAAGGACGGUAUGAUUUUGUCUAAUCAGUACUAUUGCAUAUCCUUACUAACUCAACAACCCUACAGCAAUGCUUGAGCUUGCAAGCAGUAUGUAGUGUGAGGGAGGGAACAGCUAACCUACAAUGCCUUUAACAACCCCAGAUAAUGCAAGUGUCAUCAAACAGAAUGUUACUACCCAAUUAAAGCUUCCAGAGGCUUUGUUGCGAUACUAAACCCAGAACUUUUAAUUUGUUUUUAUCAUCAAGUUAGUAAAAACUUGUGCAAUAUUGGGUUAUUUGGAAGUGAAAGAAAACAUUCCUUUAACAACUACCCACCAAAGAAAGGCAGCAGUGCAACAACCACUGCACAUCAUUUGCUAGCAUUUGGACAUAUCUGGUCAAGACUGUUUUAAUCUACUGCUGUUGUUUGCCAGCCAUGGAGACUAAGUUAAACAAGUGCAUCAGAAGGGGAAUGAGAGUAUGAGAAACACGGCAUGACUAGGAAGACUUUUUCCAAUUUGAGCUUUGUAGCUUAUACUCUCAAGGAUGAGUCCUUUUUACACUGGACCUGAAAACAUGAAAAUGGAGGUACUCUGAUGAUUACUCCUACCCUUUGCUUUUGAAGAGUACUAGACUCUCCCUUAGCAGUUUCAGUAGUUAUCUUAUGAUUGUACAGCUACAUGUUUAGCAGUGAAAUUAAAAUGUAGCAGUAGGCAUUGUUAUCAUCUGACCAUAAAGGUAAAUACAUUUCACUGAUCAACAAGAACUCUGUUUUGUAUUAGUUCUUAUCUAUCUGUUACACUGUCGCUAUUACAUUAGUUGAGGGGGUACCAGAGGAAGAUUCCUGUGCACUUCACAAGACUAAAAAAAGUACCAGGAAUCUCAUGUGUACUUUAAUGAGAAACUAAAGUUUAAGGAAAACAACUGGCAAAUAUUUAUUCUGCUGCUAAUUAAUCUAAGGCUUUGAAAUAGCACAAUAAAUGGGUAAAAUUUUCUCAAGAGUACAAAGGGCAAAUAAAGCCUUGCCUGCGUUACUCCUUAACUUGCUUGCAGCAGGUAUCAUUCCAGCAGACUGUAUCUUAUCAUUGGAAGGGAAUUCACCUAACAACUCCGUUUGACCACGUCUAUCAGAAAGCCAGACACUAUUUAAAUUGCAGCCAGGUUCCCAGAUGGCAUAAGAUAAUUCAAAUCAAGGAAGAUCCACACAACUUGGGUAGAAAAACACUUUUCUUGUACACAUCUGUAGCUUGCCAUCCCAGAGCUCUAACUCAUUUCUUGUAACUCACAGAACUAAGGCAAUACACAAACCUCCCCCUUUUUUACAUGGGUUCAACCCCCCUUCAGAUAUGUGAAACAGUCUGUGUGGACUUUGUAAUGAUCUCUUUGCCCUCUUUCUCCUUUUCGAACACAAAGUUCAGAGAUUACAGUUCUUAGUGGGAGGAGUGAGAAGUCUAAAAUUUGCUUGACUGUCACUGUGAUGCAUUAAGCUCCAGAAAGACAUCAAUCUCCAUCUCAGUACUUACUCUCUGAACAGGCAAUAUUUUACAGUUACCAUUCCCUAAACAAAGCACAAUUUAUUAAACACACAAUUCGAAAGCUACAGCAGCUAAGACUGGAAGUAAAAAUAUCUCCCUACUUGAGGAAGGUAAAAGCCAUGUCAUGCUUUAAAUUAACUUAACAGGAACAAUGGCAGAACACAACCACCUAAGUAACAUCGUUCAAACCCAAAUGCAACCAUACUACAUGCAAUCAAACUUGGAAAAAGUGAAAGAAAAUGUUUCCCAUUACUAUACUGGUGUUCUCACUUUACGUGUUCACACAAAUCAUCUGUGAGUACUCUACCUUUUCCCUCUUAAUUCCAAGUCAUUCUGGCAGCUCUGGCAACUACAAGCAGUUUGCUGAAAUUUAUGGAUCAAAUCUUGAGCUACCUCCAAAUUUAAAGGGAUGAUUUUUUUUUUUAAUAAUUUUUUCCUGUGCUGUAAAUGUUUUCAUCUUCAUCAUUGAAACAGAAAGUUUAUUUUUUUAUUUUUAAUUUUUAUUUAUUUAUUUAUUUAUUGCAAUAGGAUUAUGAUAGUCUAUUAAAAUUUUGUUUCUUCACAGCUUUGUUGGUAUUUUGCUAGCACCACGCUGCAGAUCCAGACACAAAGAGCACCAAGAAAUCUCUGCAACAUUUUUCAUUUGCUGAAAUUUAUAUGCCUGUGAAUUUACAUGUAUGUGUGCUUGCAUAUGUGUACAUAUUAUGUAAAUAAAAAUAGUCACGCAUGCUAACACAUGUAUAUGCUGUUUCUAUUGUGUCUCAGCCUCUCCUGAAAGCUAGCAAUCAGAACAAAAUUUACCUAAAAGAUACAUUAUCCCAAAUAACUUCUGGAACAUCACCUGUGAACUUUGUUUAUUCACCCAUAAGCAAUUCACUCUAUUAAAAUCAAGCACCUGAUUUCUUUGGCAAUGUUAUAUGUAGUGUUUGGAACUACUCUAAAUUACUUCCUUCAUUCCCAGAACCCAUGAUGUGCAGGAUCAUAUUUUGCUGCUAGCACUGGAACUAUGAUUUUGGGUUACUCUUUUUUUUUCCCAAUUCAGCCAGGAGCUAAAUUAGCAAGAGCACAUCCCCCUAAGUAUAGGUCCAUAACCUCACUACACAUAGCAGUUUAGACGCUGCCAGCUGAGAUCAGUGCCCUCAGCUAACCAGGCUUGAUGCUUUUAGACAAUGGUCAGGCUGACAACUGACACUGUGUCCACAUACACAUGUUGCUCAACCCAUUUGUCUGCUCUCCUGUUGCCAAAAGAACAGGACUGCUUGGCCAGGCAGCUGGUACAAAGAUGUGAGUACUUCUAGGGGUCCUCUGAGAGUGGGCAGGGAAGGCCAAAACAUCAGGCCUCCACUGAGCCCAAGAUAGGAUUUCUGAUAAAGCUCAUGCUCUAAGCAAUCCAAAUAGGCUUCAGCAAUAUCACCACAGGGAACUUCCUCCAAAAGUACCUUGAUGAAAAAGUGUCAGGGAUGAAAGCUCGCUUGCACCUGAGAAGCUGGCAACUAAGCAGACACACAAAACAGCAGGAAAGUGUGAUGCCUGGGGACAAGAGAAAUCUGUCAGCAGAGAAAAUAUGUGAAUUCUAAGGACUUGGGUUCUGCUUUCAGAGUUUUGGUUGUUGUUAUCUGCAAAAUCUAAGCAUUACUCUCUACCAAAAUAAAUUUAAGACCUCAGCAAGACUGGUGUUAAGUCAGAGCACAGACUUUAUACCAGGCAUACUGGUAUAUGCAGAUCAGUCUCUGAUACUGCACUCCUAGAUGCAAAGCCAGCUCAUACAACAAAGGAUGCACUACUCUCUUUUCGGGUCUGCAUCCACGGUGAAGCACCAUCACUGGCAGCUGUACAUUUAUCCUAGAAAUCAGAACUGGCCAUCAAUACACUUCUGAUCAGAAUCUUUGCUAGCAGUUCUUCUGGAUGCCAUAUGACUUCUUUACAAGGAGGUGGGUGCUCUCUAUCCCUUGUUCCUUCCACAUCUAGAAAAGGAAUGUUUAAAAUGUCCUCAUUCCCAGUGCCUUCACACUGUUCCUCCAGGACUAAAGGAGGAAGAAGGCUGUGGAGUCCUCGGUCCUCUGCUGUGAGGCAAGAUCCCUCUGCACUGAUGUCACUGCACUCUCGGUGUGUGCCCGGUAAGACAGUAAUUUGUCAUGAGCGUGGGCCCUAUCCAUACAUGGCAGGCUGGAGGAGGAAUGACCUCAAACUCCGUUUCUGAUCCAGAGGGCGUUGUCAGAGCACAGUGUUUGAGUUUGAUGCAUGAAGCGCAGAGAUAUUUUCAGCUCCUGAAUCACACUUCUGGCUCCACAGCUAACUUGAACUUUUCCUUAAUUUUGUUUGCAAUUUUUCACCUUCUGCUAUCACCAUUGGGCUCUCAGAGAAAGAAAAUGAGCUGGUUACAGAAAAAAAAAGCCUUAUUAUGAGGAUUUUUUUUAAAUCACUUUCAUUUUAAUUGCUUCUAUUUUAUUCUCCUGUAUGUGUGGAGCAGUGGAAUUAAACAAAUGACUGAUAGAUUAGUGGUGCAUCACAAAUGUCUGUUGUUUUUUUUUGUUGUUGUUGUUGUUUUUUAAUAUGCUAUUAAGUACUGCCAGUGAAUGUUUUCUAAUGACUUUGAUGUCCAGUACAAGAACAAAAUGGCCUGAAAAAUCAGGCAGUGCAACAGCAGUUAACCUGGUUGCAGCUAUAGGAAAGCUCUGAGGGAUCAAAUUUGUAUAUUCCUAUAGUUAAAGCAAAAAUAUUUUGCUGUACUGUUGCCAUAACACAAUAUUGACUUGACUAGAAUUCAAGAGCAUAACUUGAAACUGGCUGUAAUGAAAACACAGAGCCUCACUUUACAAUACCAAAAGAAUAAGUUCUAAUUGGCAUAUCCUGCCAAUUACGACUGCAUCACCUCUCCGUUGCCAUGGCCUGAUUCCUGAAUUCAAUAGGAAAGCUCCAGGAAAAUGAACAGACAAAUUAUGCAACCUCAGUCACAGCUGAGCAAGUCAUUUAGGCAUACGCUUAAUUCCAUCUCUAAGCAGUAAAGCCAGCUCAGCAAAGCAAGGCAUGUGCUCAAGUUAGAAGUGAAUAGGUGGCAUGCAUCCUUCUGAAUGUUUUUUAUUUUUUUUCCAUAGACUCUGGAUGUAGCGAAAAACUUCCCGAUUUCCUUGGAGCUCAUCAUGCUGGAAGAAGGUUGAAUUCACUCACACACGUACCAAUCUUUUUAACUCAUCCAUAGAUUGAUUAAGCAAAACAAAUUAAAAAAAAAAAAAAGAAAAAAACCAACCAUGUGGGGCAUAUCCUUGAGCAGAGAUAAACAUGCAUGCUACCCACUGAUUACAGGGAAGCACAAAGGCAGGAGGAGGUGAUGCAGAAAAGAUGACAUAACAAGCUACUAUAAGGAAAUCCCAUGCAUCCACAACUGCUGAUAAGACUCUUGUAGUGUUUUCACGUAGAACUGGCAGUUUCCUUAUCCAUCAGAACAGGGUCAUGGGCACUUAACUCCUCUACUUCCGUUUGCCUCACAUAGCAAGGAGGAAAGAGUAAGAAAAAUGACCACAUGAUAAGAUAAGGGAUGUGGUCUCUCCUAGAUGCAAUAAAGUAAUUGGGCAGUCUCUAAAGUCUUUUCCUUUAAAUUUUCUUUAAUCUCAGCAAGAAACAUUAAUCUAACAGAGACAACUUCCAGGCAAGCAUGAUUCCCCAGGAGCAUUCCUCAACUGCAGAUAACUGGGGGAAAAAAAAGGCCUGUUGCAAGCAGGGGGGCUGUAUCAGUUGAUGAGGAAGGUGUAUUUGGUCACAGGCUGUACUGCUCACCUGCCGCUGCCCGCCUGCCCAGAUGGAAGGGCCUCAGGUACCUUCCUGUUUCAUCCUCUCUCAGAGGUCAGUGCCACAGGGUUGCCUGAAAUCAUGCUGCCCAAGGUUGUUUUCUCCUGUAUCCCUGGGCAGAAGUCUGGAGGAACCCAGACCCCAAACUCUACUGGAAGGGUCUGGAGUGGGUCAGAGACCUGAUCCAUUCUCUGUUUAAGGUUACAAUUUAUCCCUCCUCCAAGGGUACCGUGAGCCAUAUACAGAACAAAAGUUUGCAGGAAUUAAACUACCACAGCAAAAGACACAUUAUGCAAACAUCUCUCUUUUGAGAUGACACAACAUAGAGCAUAAAGCACAAACAAAACCAAAACAAACAAAGCAGAAAAGCAUUGUGGAAUUAAAAAAAAAUCAUUUCUUGAAGAGCUUCUCUGCUCCUCUUACACCCAUUAGGACAGCAAUAAUGCUGAAAUGGACAGCCAGCCCUGAAAACUGGAUAAACUGAGACAUAGAGAAAACAACUGAAAGCAAGGAGAGAGACUGAAAAAAUAAGCGAGACAACAGAUGGAAAGUAGAAAUGCAAUGUCUAAACUGCAGCUGUAAUUCUGCCAGUAGCAAACAUGUUUAAGAACGGUUCAUCCUGCUUUCCUAUUCUGGGGAGGCAGGAGUUUUCUUGUCAACAAAACUGCCAUGGAUUCUCCCCAGACAGUUGGUGGGACAGGAAAAUUAUUUCCCUCCACACCUAGGAGCAAAACUACGCAUCUAAGAAAGGGAAAGCCUCUGACACCCCCUGGUUCCUCAUUACACAGUUGUUCUAGUACAGCUGGGGAGCACAGAGGGUCACCUCAUUAAAAUCUAUGUCCACAACUACCAGAGCUGUAUUUUAGUUGCUGCUGGCCAGGGGUCAAUGAAAGGUAUUGUUCGGAGCUCUCCCUUGGCAGUACAACUCUGCCAGUCACUCUCCUUUACUAGCUUGACUGUUAGAAUUACACAGGAAAAAGGUUGUUAUUAUUCUACCAAUGUUUUAUAGACUAAUUUGGCAGUUUUUCUAGCAUGGUUUUAGUAGUUUUGAUAGCAUGCUAGUAUGGGAAAGAAGGAUUUCCACAUUGGCUCAAGAAACAAUGCUGGCAAGACUACCUAUUUUUAACAUGGUUUAUUCCUAUUUCAGACACAGCACUUUCUCUCCCAUCUGUUGACACAAUUGUUUUGUUUUUUAAAAGACACAGUUGUCUGUCUCUUGGAGAGAAGAAACAAUGAUCCCCAAUAGCUGCAGAGAGAAACAGGAGACUAAAACCUCAUCAAACAGCGCGCUGGUCAGAAGGUAAUGCUGCUUGGUUUAUGAGUGAAAAAUAGAGCCUCUUAAGGAUUCCGAUCCUUCUUAAAAAUUACAUCAGGUUUUGGCUUCUGUGGUAUUGUAAGUGUGACUGUGGACUUUUAAAAUUCACAUCUGAUAUGCUCACCAACUAACUAAGAUGGCUUAUUGAUCUGGGGAGCCUAACUGCAAGCCUGCCAUCAGUGACACGCCAGCCUGCUCAGCGGGAGCGCAGCCACAAGAUCGGAGCCAGAGGCAGACCUUUUCAUUCCUUUCUUUACUAACAAAAGGAAAAUGUAAUGACAGCACUGGCAGAGAGAAGGGAACACCAAAAAUUAUUAAUAUGAUAAAAAUUCAACUCAUAUAGCAGGAUAAAGCAUUAAGCAAUCCUUUUGACACCGGGGUUGUCAGGCUGCUUUCUCAGAUUUUUGAUGAUAGAGUUUUUUUUCCUCAUUGGAUUGCUGAAGCUCCUGGUUAUGAUCUCCCAGGCAAUCUGAAAACCUCAUCUCCUUUCAAAGGCAUUCCAGGCAGCCUGAGAGUUUGUAGCAAAUAAAGCUGAAGCGCGGCUGAGGUGGGACCUCUACAGAUCACUACAGCAACCUCAGCUCUUGUAGGACAGCCUAUUUGCUGGCAAAGCUGCAAUAUGAAAACCUGAUAUAUUAAAGGUCAAGACUCCAAUACAGAGCAGACUCAUAUGUAUUGUGUUUUAAUUUCUUUUUACGCAGAGAGGUGUCUAGGGACCUGGAGAGGUGACAGAAAGAUAAAUCAUGCACGACAAACUGGAACAGAAGACAAGGCUGUAUCCAGAAUAGGAUCUCUCCACUGUUGCAGCUGUCCUAGCAAACUGUAUUGAUAGCGUGUCCCCAGCACAGGCUUCAUUCGUACUAGCAAAAUUGUAUUAUUUGCUAGCAUAGCUUUUUCCUAAGGUUCCUCUUUCCUUAUCCAGCAGGUAAAAAGUGUAUCCAUAAAAGUAGAGGUUUGUCAUAAGUGUCUCCACAGUGAGAGCUUCUGUGUCAGUCAGGGAUCGCAUCAAGGAUCAAGCCUCUUUACACCUUCGGUCAAGACAGUUAUGUCAGCACAAGUCUGUGUAACAGGCACGUUCCUCAUCCGCCUGGAGUGAAAAGUCAGCAGUCACCUGCUGCAGCGUUCUGGGCAGGAAUGGAGAGUCAGGCUGAGCAUACUUAUCCCACCCUGACAGGAAAAACUGCACCAAACCAAGUGCCUGGGAUCAUACUUAAAGAUAGAACCACAUUCACCAUGAUGAUGAAAAAUACAGCUGACCUAAGAUGUAUUUUCAAGGAAUUAUCACGUGGAUCUGCUUUCAGGAGCUGUCUGAAAAGAUAUUUUCCAGGAGUGCUAUGUGGUAUGUUCUACUGUUCACAAUCACCCAAGUGAUUUAAGAUUUUAAUGCCGUCAUCUAUAAUCUUUGUAAGAGAACGGGCAGUGACUUUAACAUGCCCUUGAGAAAUGAAGAUUCAUGAGGGAUCUGGCAGGGCAUUCAUAUAUCGCUUGCAGACUGGUAAAAGGGCUCUCCUGCCUUUAGUCUGACAAUGUCUAGAGCUGUGGUCCUUGCCCGUUCCAAAUUAUCUAAUUUCUUUGCAAGGAAUGCAGUACAUAUUACUGGAAGGCUGGACCUACUCCAGGCGACUAUGGUUUCUAUGGACAGGAAGCUUUAAGGUUUAGGAUUAAAACAGCAAGAGGCUGAACAUUGAGGACCUAGAAAUAACCACCAAUGGUCCUGAUGCAGUCCUCUCUGAGGACACUGCAGCUCUCAAAAAUACAGGGAACAACUUGGAGAAUUAUCUCAGAUAAAAUACUAGUUUUUGGAUGACAGUGGGAAGCUCCUGCAAAUACAGUAAUGCAACGGGUUCUGGCAUGUUUUCACUUAUGGACUUCAACCAAUUCUGCAGAGCAUCAUGUAGGAAAACACAAAAUAUAGAAGCUUGUAGCUAUCUGAUCUAUUGCAGCAUGUCUCAUUUAAAGGAAAACUACUGGAUCUAUGUUUUUGUUCUUUUUUUUUUUUAAAAAAAAAAGGGUAAACUGUGACUUAUGACAGUAGACCUCUUCUUCCCCUAGCUGUAGAAGCUGAAGAUGGUCCUGUCUCCAUUUGCUCCUGCCUGACUGAAGGCUCAUGCUUACUAUUUCAGUCAGUGUGAGCACUCCACUGACCUUCAACAGCCACUGAAGCCAACCCAGAUGGCUAUGCCUGCAGUAAGAAACAGAUCACUUUCAAAACUCUUUCAACAAGUAGAAUGGUUAGCUAGUUAGCAGUGAUUAUUCAUGGGCAGUGUCAUCUUCAACCUUUACAGCACCACGUGAAGGCAAUACCUGUCCAUUAUCCAAGAUCUGCAGCAUAGAUGAAGAGAUGAAGAAAAGGCAUGAUGGAAAAUUUGAAAUUCUGUAUCAUUACUGUGCAAACUGAAAAAGUAAACUUGACAGGAACCCUCCCAGACUUAAGAGCUCUAAAUAAUAAUUACGUGGUACUCGACAGUAGACUCCUUGCUUUAAGGAAGAUAUACAGAUUAUAUCCUGAAUUUUCAAGACUCAAUAACGUUGAUGUGGUCAAGGUGCCACUCUGAUAUUCUUUUUUAAUGGCCAAGACAACAAAACUACUUUUCACAUCCCCCAAAAUGUCACUAAAAACAAUAUAUUUUAAAUUAGAAAAUUAUUUACCUUUGAAAUAUAAAUGGCAAUGCACAUGAACAGAGCCUCCUCUGAGUUUAUUCAUGUCUCUGUUCAAGAGUCAAGUGGCCAAAUCACAUUGACAUCCAUUGAAAAUCUGGCUUUAAGCUGUCUUUGCUCUCUCUGCUGUGUUCAGCAGAAGUUUAGUGCAGCUGCAGUCAAAAGACUAAAGACUGCAAGGUGGCAAUUUCACCACGACUUGUCCCCUUAAAACCUCCAAGUUUCAUUCGGCACUAGGGCUUCUGCUCAAAAAUUAAUAGAAAACAGGAAAAUGGUAAGAGGCCACACUGACUGUGGAAAGUCCAACUGAAGAAAAACUGCCCUAGGAGAGGAUCCAAGAAAGAGCAUGGGACCAAAAAUACUUUCAGACAGCACUGUCGACAUGUUAAACAGCAGAAGUGUUUCUGCCAGGAAAACAUAAUGCCACCACUAAGAAACAUAAGAAAUCAAGUUAAAGGCCUCUCAAGAGGGGGAAAAAAAAAAGGCAGAACAAACAAUAGCAAUCAUUUCAGAAACUCAGACACAAAUAAAGACUAAGAAAGAAGAUGAGUUGAAGAAAAAAAAAAGGACAAAAAAGACCCCUAAUGAAUUCUACAUCUCCAAAGAGUUAUUCAAAUUCCCACUUCAUUGUUUCCAGAGAUGAAUACCACAGAUUCUGAUUCAGGAAAUGUGAACAGAUAUAUUAAAAUGCGGUCAAUUCCUCCCAAACUGUUAUGUGCCAUUCCAGAACCUUUGACAUCACCAAAAUGAUCACUUGAGAUCACUUCUAAAAUGAUUAAAAAUAAAAACAAAAACAUAAAGAAAACAAGCUAUUAUUCUAUCAAGACUGCUUAACAGGAGAUGAGUAGAACUGACAGACCUCAGGGAAAGGCCAGUGGCCAGCCAGCACAGCACGCUUCACCUGCCCAGGAUAGGGUAAAGCACUUCUCACUGCUUUUCUAAGUAUCACUUACUAACACUCCAGGUCCCCAUUACUUCCAAAUUGGCUUUAAAAGUGAUAAGUAAACAGAAUCAUUUGCGUUGGAGCUUCUUCCUUUUUCAUUCUGACAAAUCAAAGAACUGCAUCAGUUGAACUACAGAGCUGUGUUUCUGCACCUACGUGCCAAUGUUUUUCAUAUCACUUCAUUACAACUAGUCCUGGCAUGGAGCAGUCCCCAGUGGGUUUGCAGAUCAUUACAGCAACAUGAUUAGAAAGCUUGAUCCAAAUAUCAUAAAAGUCAAUGAAACUUGGAUUGAGCCCAACAAGAAAUAUUUUGUUCCUGCUGUGGGUGGUUACAUACACAUUACACUUUUUCUAGUGAUAAAAGUGAGUGUUCCUCCAUGCGCCAAUUUUAAUAACAGUACAGCCUGCUUUUGAACAAUAAACUGUCAUGAAAAAAAACGUAACCUGAGAUAGAAAAAUCAUAGAAUCAUAGAAUCAUCAAGGUUGGAAAAGACCCACAGGAUCACCCAGUCCAACCAUCCACCCAUCACCAUUAGUUCUCAUUAAACCAUGUCUCUCAACACAAUGUCCAAACGUCCCUUGAACACCUCCAGGGUCAGUGACUCCUCCACCUCCCUGGGCAGCCCAUUCCAGUGCCUGAAACACUCUUUCAGAGUAGUAGUAUUUCCUAACGUCCAGCCUGAACCUUCCCUGGUGCAGCUUGAAGCCAUGAUCAAAACAUGAAGCCAUCGUGUUUUCUGUGCCCGGGAUCAAUCAAAAAUCCCACUGACUACAGUAACAGUUGAGUAAGACUACCACACUGUUCCGUAAAGGAAUGCAUUUACACACAUACAAUGUGCACAUACGUCCACUUACUGACCUGUAUGUCACAAAAACCCUCCUCUGAAAAUUAUGAUUAUGAUGAAUAUUUUUAGGACAGGAGACAUAGCUCGUAUGGUCAUGGGCACACAGAGUGCGUCCCACUUUCUGUAUUAUAUUAUUCUCUAAAAUGUCAUACAUUUCCCAUCUUUGAAAUAGAAAGAAAUUUUUGUGAAAAAAAAAGUUUCAUGCUAAGUAAUAAAAUAUUUUAAAAACAGUCUAAACAUUCAUAAUAUAUUUUAAUAAGGAUACAAGAGAUUAUUCAUAAGCAUUACCACACUACUGAAUUUAUGUAAUAAUUAUUUGGCAUGUUACACCUGUUACAAUGUGUAAAGUAAUCUUGAUAAUAUUUCUAGUCUGCACAGUGUUCUUAGCACAGAGGGCUUUUUUGUCAGUAACAAUUAAUAUAGUAACUGGAAGAAAAAUCCAAUCUGACCAAAAUCCAAGAGAGGUACCUGAAGAAAACAAAAAUAACAUAAAACAUUUGGGCUGGAAGCAAACUCGAAAUGGGUUAUCCUCUAUCAUCUUUAAUAGACGUGUAUUUAGUCUAGCCAAACAGAUUCCACACCCUCCCAAGGCAGUUUGCUCCACUGACCUAAAUGUUACUUUGUAGUAACCCCUUUCCAAUAUUGAACAUUCACACAAAAUGUUCUCUGCUGCUGUUUAAUCACAGUAUUGUUCCCCUUUUAUCUUCAGUAACACAUGAGGACAUGUUGCUUCACUCUUCCCAGUUCUUUUGGAUGCAUAUGUGCAGUUGUAGCUCUGAAUUACAGUUUUUCCAGUCUCAAUGUACCUAGAUUUCAUGUCUGAAAUACUCUUUUAUCUUGUGUUUGAGCUUUCCAUUUCACUGAAGAGCCCCAUGAAUUGAGGUUACUUUUGAUUCUUGAUUUUAUGAGCUGAAGAGGAUUUGAAAUGUUUGCACCAAGUCUACUUAUUUUAUGAGGCUUGAAGUUACAUUAUGUCUCCCUACUUUACUGUGGUAUUUGUUCCUCCAGAUUUAAUAUUAUCCUCCCAAGAAACACCUUGAGAAAAUCACCCAUACAAAACCAAUAGUAAACAAAACAAAAUACCAAUAACAAACCACAGUAAUGAGAUACCUGGAGCUUAACACUGCUGCUCUUCAGGAUGUGCUAUAUAAUUCCGGGGAACAUGCACCCAGACUUGAAUAGUUUUACCUCCUUACAUAAACAUACAUCUCCCCUUAGAGAUUUGGUGCUGCUAGGAGUGAAGGUAUACUAGCACCAAGAUGAUCUGAGCAUAUUCACAGAAUACACGGAGGUUGCCGAGUACACACUAAACUGCUUCCAAGCUGCUUCUGAUAUGCCUAGUUAGACUGCAGUCAUGGCAAAGGCACAACUUUAAUGGGAUAUGAAUUCCUCCACGCUCCAAACGUGGAUGAGGGACAGGACAUGGAAAAAGCUGGUGACCUGCUCAACACUUACAGAAUCUUUGGUUGAAAUGCCUGGAAUCACACAGCGUAUGUGCAAGACUUUUGCCAAAAUCACGGGCAUGUGAGAACUCUGCCAGUGCCUAACACUGACCAUGGUCAGGCUACUGUGCUUGGAGCAAUUUCUGAGCAAUCCAAACAUAAAGGCUUAAGGUGUUCAGAUUCUCCAUCCAUAGCAGAACACCUGCCUCAGUUUGAGUAUCUGAGGACUAAUGAGUAUUUCCAUGGGUAUGGAUUAAAAAUACUGAAUUCAUUUGGUGCAUCACAAUACACAUGCAUUUAAGCAGAACUUGGGACUUCAAAUCAAUUACUUGCCUGUAACAUAAAAAAUCCUUUUUACCAAUGAAAAUACAUGCCUAAGGAAAGUUGUAGAGAAGAGAUUCUCAUACUCAAAGACUUUUUUUCUCUGUUUUGACAACAAAAUUGCAGAGGGCAUCACAAAGAUGCACCCCACAAUUGCUUCAAAUAGCUCCAACGCAGUACUCAUCCAACCUGUUUUUAGAAUCAAUAAGAGAAAGGUUUGGAUUUUCUUGUUUUUGGCCAUUUCAACAAACAGAGGACAUUGCUGCCAGGACUGUCUUUGCCUGCUGCCAGCACACAAAGCUGAAAACAUGCUUAACAAGAGCAAAGCAUGAGCAACUUAGGUACUGAAGAAAUAGCUGUAAGGUCUGAUACAAACAGACAAGCAUUAAGUCUCCGAUAUGCAGCUCAGAAGACUGGCUUAUUUACCAUAAAUAGACCUACUUCUGUUAUGUCACCUGAGACCUUGGUUAGGCCACAAUUACUGUUUUCUUUCUACCUUUCUUUCUACCUUUCUUUCUUUCUUUCUUUCUUCCUUUCUUCCUUUCUUCCAGGCAACUGACAAGUUACAUUUCUUAUAUAAUGCUGCUGCAUUGCUAACCUGAACCAUAAUGACUGCUCAUUAUAAGGUAAUUAGGAGUGCUGAGAUCAAGAGCUGUCAAUAAUUUGAUUUGCUCCAUAUAAGGUAAAAAGUUAUCUUUGCUACAAAGGCAAUCCCAAUUGCAUCUUUUGAAACAGCAACAAAACCUAUUGCUUUCAUUGGAUUAAAUCAUACCCUCAGAACUCCCUCCAGCCAGGCACUCGAGCCCAUGUCACUGCAGGUCUAUGGGACGAGGGCACAGCAUUGCAAAUUCUCCUGCCUGCACUCCUGCGUGGCAUACAGCCCUCCCCCACCUUUUCAGCCUUCAGUGAAACAGCUCGGUACAGAAAACUGCACUGCUUAAGGCCACAUAGAUUUAAUGUUUUCUGUAUAGAAGAAAAACUUAUACACAGCAAAUUUUCAGUCUCAAUUUUUAUUUAUUUAUUUAUUUGCUAUUUUUGCUGUCAAUUUAGUGUAGCUUAAUAAAGACAGUGAAAAGAAAUGGCCUUUAGCAGGGAUUUACGUUCCAAUAGCAAAUUCUUCCAGAAAGAAGAGCUACUGAAAUGGUUUCUAGCUCCCAAAUAACUCAAGCGCAAAUUCUAGAUGUUGACAAUACAUUGUACUUACCCAUUGCCAAUGAAUUGCUAUUUAAUACAUUCCAAGUUAAAGUGAUACAUGUGCAAUUAGGCUCCAAGUAUGUUACACCACACUGACAGUGACAGUUCAAGCAGGUAAGUCUCUACACCUUCCCGUCCACUUAUAUGGAAGAUAGCCCUGUUUGCCAGGCCCACUAAUGGAAAGCACAACUGUUCCCCAUGCCCUGACAUACAGGCUGGUGCUGGCCACCAACUUGUGCCCUGGUUCACAGCUUGAGGUGGGAGAAAGGCCGCACUGAAAAAGUAAAGUCCUCAUAAUCACAGUGCCCUCCGUCCACACUCCUGGCUGAGCACCUCUGUUGGGAUCAGCCCCCACUCUCACCAACCAGCAGCCCAUUUCUGGGGGCUGCCCGAGCAGAUAGUGCGUGCUCUGCUCCCAUCCCGACACGUUGAAAAAUGAGCAGGGGAGUCCAUUCCUGCACAACCUGUCCCAAAUCAAGCUUUAGAUAUAUCUUCCAGUUCUGCCAGCGUAUUGAUAAAAUCCCAUGCAGGGACAUUAUUCUUUUAAAAAAUAUUAAAAGAAAAUGCUGCAAGUGAUUUUUGUAAAAAAAAAAAUCCAUCAUAACAUCAUUAAAAAUUAACAAAAAGAAAGCAUUAGUGUUGUCUUACUAACUGGAGGGGAGGUCUUGCUGUUAAAUUGAGAAGGGCAGCAAUGGAAGGCAUUUUUAGAUCAGUGUUUCCAUUCUUUCCUCUUUUGCAUGGUUCAAAAGUCCUGCAUAAUUAAUACUGCAGUACUUAAUAAAUGCUUAUGAACCUACUACCUCCCUGCUCUUUCUGUUUAAUUAGGUGAUUGACUGCAGGCAUACUAUAAAUUAUAAUGACAAUUUAAUUACUUUUUUAAUGUGCACACUUACAAGAUUUAUAAACAGGAACAGAGCAGUACAGUAUGCUAAAAACAAGAAAUACCGUGAGCUGGAGUGCAGCACAAAGUGCUCCAGCCUGAAGCCUUUCUGGAGCCCAGGCAUCUGCAAGGCUGGGAGCUUUGCUAUCUGCAGUGUCUGGCACAAUUUUCCCUUUCUCUCCUGAACAUCCUGUUACGCUCCUCUCAGCUUUUUCUUUUGGCACCUGGGGAACUCUCUUGGUUUCACAGCAGGAACCUAAACCAGUUCCAAAGAGAAGUCAGCCAAGGACAUGGGCGUACCUUAAGUAAGGUGUCUGUAAAAAUGAAAGACCCCUUCCCAUGUUUUAAAGAAAUCAUAAAACUCCAUUCUCGUUUUAUCACAAUGCAGUCACUGUUAAAGCUUGCAAGAGGCUGAAACUUUCCACAAUAUCUCAGCUAGCACAGGCAAAUUGACAAAGAUCACAGAUUUCACAACGCCACAAGCAGACCCUGGUGAAGAGACAGCAAUGUGUGUGUGAAAAUAUUUUGUACUGCCAGGUGGGGUUUAGGCUCUUCUCCCCGGUAACAAUGAUAGGACUAGAGGGAAUGGCUUCAAGUUGGGCCAGGGGAGGUUCAUGUUGGAUAUUAGGAAAAAUUUCUUCUCAGAAGGAGCAGUGAGUCAUUGGCACAGGCUGCCCAGGGAGGUGCUGCAGUCACCAGCUCCAAAAGUUUUCAAAAAGCAUAGAGAUAUGGCACUGAGGGACAUGGUUAGUGGGCAUGGUGGUGAUGGUUGCUGGUUGGACUUCAUGAUCUUAGAGGUCUUUUCCAACCUUAAUGAUCCUAUGAUUCCAUGAUUCUCAGCAUGCUUACCAACAAUGCUGGCAUAUCUGUAACCAGUACUGCUUGAAGGGAGAAAAAAACAAGGAGACUGGGCCAUUCAGAGUGUGCGAAUUCCACGUUUUAAGCCUCACCUACAAGCAGUGCUGAACAGUCAAGAAGGAAGUAAGUUUAAGUACAUAACCAAGGUGCAGCGAUACAAUAUUGACUCCAGUUUUCCUUUUUGUUGUGGAAAAACCAUCCCUGAGGCCUGUCCCAGGCAGCUAGUCUGCACCCCCAUGGCUGACACCCCCACCCCCAGUCAGCAGAGGUGCACAUGGAGCAGCCCCGCAGAGCUGCAGCAGGGGAUUGCAAGGGGCUGCUUUGUCUGCACUUCCCGCUUUCAGAGCGAACAAUGGAUCACCUCUGGAGCCGGCACUGCAUCCAGCCUGCACGCAGCUGGUGAUUGAUGGAAGGUCAUGAGGGCAGCAGACUUUGGGUGCACAGCCCUGGAUUGCUUUAUCAAGGAUGGCAAAAGGCCAUGUGCUACAAUAACACAGCAAAUACUUCCUUUUGCUGCAGCACAGACAAAUUCCUUCCUCUCUGCAAGCUGAAUUCAAAGCUUUUGGUUCUCAUCUAGGAGCAUGUGCAAGUCCUGCCCUGGCAAAACUGUGCACGUGAAGAGUUGCAUUUUUAUUCCUGAGACCAUUUGGUUGUAAAUAUUCUCCCUUAAAUGGAGUCAACCGUGUCUGGGCUGAAAUCACCCGCAGUUGUAAAUGUGUAACCCUAGGGGUUCACAGACCCCGUGGGCAGUGAAAGAAGACAACACUCCCUCCUUCUCAGAAAUUGAAACUAUACAGUAAGAAACAAGAAAACCUGUAACACCGCAUAACUGACCAUAGUGUUUCUCAAUGAAAGUGUUUCCAGAAAGGAAAGCAUAGUGCUUUGGUAGAACUUAAAAGUUCCACCACAAUAUAAAUGUUGUCCCUGGUUUAAAUGAAGCAUUAUGAAAGUAAUAGUUUUCUGAAAUACUAACAUUUAACAGCAGUUGUACUGCUGGAUUAAUUACAAUUUAAUGAGUUACAAGAGCUGGAAUAUUGGUACACCAGUAUGAUAUCCUUCUGCAAAGUAAAAUUGAGGCAAGAUUUAGAGUGUUCUGAAACAAGCUGUCUUACUGUGUAAGGCCUUCCAGGGUGUUGUACCAGCUUAGAGCACAGGUGAAAUAUUUCAGAAUGUGCUGCAGUUUUCAAUUUUCUGCCAGCCAGCUUUUGCUUCCUGUUCCCCUGUAGCUGAUUCUCUGUUUAUCCACCUCAUCUAACUGCUCUGAUGGUGACAACGUAACUUAAUGCCCCAACAAGGACAGAAAGCUGUAAUGUCAGACACUGUUUCUAGUGGGUCAGGAUUAGGCACUGAAGUCCAAAGUAGUCUUCAAACCAGAGGUCACAAUUUCAGUUAUCUUCCCUGCUGACCAGAGCUGCAACACAAGGAAAAUAGCUAGCUGCCCACCCACUGGCUGCAGAAGCCAAACCGAUGACAACCAAUAACGAAAUAAUUGACUAAUAACUAGAACAUCUAGCAUUAGAUCAUGACUUGUCAGUUUUGGAGACUGUGGGGAGCCAGUUCAAGCCUAGGGAGUGAAAUAAGCAACUCGUGUUUUUGAGCAGCAUGAGGCAGGCAGUCACACCGUGACAAUGGCCGCACCGCAGUGGUACAGGCAACGUGAUCCUUCCACGCAUCACUGCUGGGGCUCCACGGCAGAAGGAGCAGGUAGUUUCCCUCCCAUAGGUCUCAAGGUAUGUUACAGUACAUCAGUGGAUUUGCAUAAUUCUAGUCAAAUGAGGUCUUAAAAAUUUCAUCAUCGAUUUUGAACUUGAAUGCUCUGGAACUGAGCAAAACAAAUGGUGCUUAUGUUUGCAAAAUGGGAGGUCUGAGAGUGGAAGCAUCUCAGUUUUCUUACAGCCCUAUUAAGCAGAUAACAAGUAGGCCAAACAUCUCAAUUUUAACAAAGUGCACAGAUGUAAAGAUUUAAAACAUAACAUUAUGUAAUAUUAAUUAACAACCAUAAUGUGUACUGAAAAGUUUAUGAAGUAGGGAAAGCUUUUGCAUAGCUCACGUUACCCAGAAGCCAAAUCUGCACACAGGCAACUUGUCCUCCGAGUAUUUUCAUUCCUUCUUCAGAGAAGAGUGUGAAGCUAAUAUUAGCAUCAAACUGUGUCAUAUUUUUAAUACUUUUUCCAUAUGAACUGAGAGAUACCUGAGGAGCCACCAUGAUGUCACAGAAAAACACGUUCAACAUGGCUUUUCUGCUACUCCCACUUUCAGGUUGUGCCCCAGCACUCUGCUCCCCUUUGCUCAGAGAUGGGAGCCAUAUGGGCCUAGAGCUAAAUAACUGUAUGUACUUGUGAAUAGACACCAAACUGAUAAAUGCUAGCACACAUAAAUUUGUUUUUUAACAAUAUAUAUUCUGGUGCUUCAGAGUGAUUUAUUCAAAAAAGGUUUUCAAAGGCAAAGAGUGGUUUAAAGAGAAAAAAGCCAAAAUCUUUAAGGAGAUAAAUUCCAGUCCUGACUUUUAACUCCUUGCCACCGCAGACCCAGGAUUCCAAUUGAGUGCAACAGAAGGCAGAAGCCUCCUCACUAGGUUUCUCUCACAAAGCCGAAAGGAAAACUGCUGUGAAUAACUGAGGAGCCCAAGAGAGUUUUUCUGGGCUGCUGCCUGAACAAAACCCCUUGUGAGUGGGGCCCCUUGAGACAGGCUGGGCAACAGCAUGCAGAAACACAGAGGCUCUGCAUCUGAGACGCGAUGGCAUGGGGCAGGUGGGGCUGAUGGUUUUGCACGCAGCACAUCAUAAAGACAAAGGCUACCAAAAGUACAGCAACACAUCGCUUUUGCUGCUUGGGGAUGCACCUACAAACACUCAGUUUCACUUCUCACAGUUAUUCAAAUCAUCCACUCCUUGUGGGUCUGCAAAUCUAAGUUGCAAGUCACACAGAAGGGAUUUAUUAAGAGCCUGCUGGUGCAUCUGACCACGACAAAAGGAUAAAAUAAAAAUAAAAAAAGAACAAAAUGCACUGAGCAUUUCUGGACCCCAGACUGUCUGACCUGGAUCCAGUGAACACAUCUGAUUUCCACUGACUGUUGCCUCCCAAAAAUGUGACCUAAAUGUGCUGCACACCAGGGGUGGGGGACAGGGCUGCACAAGUAUCAGUGAGAGUCACUUAUGCUAUUAGUCGGAAAUCGAAAAUUGAAAGAACCACUUUGAAUGAUAACAGAACGCAAGAGCUCAUCACUUCCUCCACCAGGAGGGCACAUGAAGACCUUAUUCCUAAGUACUGAUCAGCCAGAACAUGUUUUGAGACAGAAGAUUCCUGGACUCCAUUCACAGCUCUUAAAUAGCUCUGUGUCUGGACCUGGGCAAGUGGUUUCAAUCUUCUGUGCUUUUGCAAAAUAGUAAUAAGAAUGCAUACCCACCUCACAGAAUAGAGGCUUCAUCAAUGUUUCUAGCUCACUCUCAGCUUCUCAAGUAAAUAGUCCUGCAAAAGUACAGAGUAUCAUUAUUUAGAUUUCAUUUCCUUCAAAAAUUUGAAUUCUUUCUAUUUCUCUCUCUUUUUUUUUUUUUUUUUUUCUUUUAAACCAGAUAGAAUCAAUUGUGAAUGCAAAAUCAGCAUGCCUGCCUGGAGGCCAGUCCCAGGCUCCUGCCUCACGCAUACAUGUACAUAUAUAUCACCGCAUAUUCCACAAUACAUACCGCUGGUCUAUGAAUAGGUCGCUAGGACACAAGCCAAGCAAUGCACAUCUAAAUCUGAAUGCUGAACAAACAAAAACGUGGGUAUUUUUAAGUUCAAAACUCCUUCCUAAGAGCCUCACAUGCUCCCAGCCCCACGGCCCUGGUGCGACAUGUCAGAGGCAGCUUUCUGAGGCGCGGUGGUGUCUUCUGAAUCACUGCCAUUACCCGAGAAAACCCCAGGAAGUGGUUUGAAUGAGAAGCUGGACCCGACUUGCGUAGGUAUCAGCUGAUGUCAGAGUACACACAGCACAAAGCCGUAACAAUAAGGACAUUGUGAAAUGAGGAAUAACCUUCUCUUAUCUCCUGGAGUUUGGGAAAUCAUUUCUAACCCAGUGACUACGGGGCUUAGGCAAAAGUCAAAUGGUUAAUUAUUCACCAUACACUUUGUAAUCAAUCUGCAUUUCAGGCCAGAUCCUUGUAUGCCCAUAAUAACAUGAAGAUCUCCACAGAGGGAAACAACAGCAUGAGCUUUUGGACCUCCUUCUGCAAAGCAAUUCGUUUUUCCAUAAACAGUUACUAUUAAGCAAGGACAAAGCAACAAACCAGACAGCCAUCUGUGUAAACCAAUUUAAAAGCAUGGUGAUCUCAUAAAAUUUUUUGACCUAACACUCUUCAUUUAACUUCUGUCACCCUAUUCUACCCCAGCAAAUUCUGCUUUUUAGCCGGCCCUUGGGCUUAGGUUGCGUUUCCACUUUAGGGAAAGCCACUCCUUGAAGGCAGGGUGACUUCAAACCUGUGAAAAGAGCAUGUCUGUGAAAAUACCUUGGCAUAUAUGGAAGUAGGACAACCUAACCAGCAGCCCACGCUCCAGAGGGUGUUACCACCAUGGACUGCACAACACUUGCCAGCUGGGCUUCCUAGAAGUAUGAGGUCAGGUGAGAGCAAAGAUUCUGGCCACUGGCUAUAGUGCAGUUCUUGCUUCUUCGUGCGCCUUCUUAUGAGCCAGAGAAAAGCCAGCAACAGCACUCAACACAACCAUUUUAGAAGAGGAGAUGAUCCUGGUAGCCUUAGAGCAACGUUCACAAACCCACACAUACCACAGCCAUCCUAUACACACUGAGCUGGCCACAGCGUCUAUGGUGUGCUCUAGCUCUUUAGGCUUGACUCUAAUGAAACACUGGGCAAAACCUACCAAAUGAAACAAGCAAAAUACGGGGGAGAUGGCUGCAAGCAAUUAGCAUUCAUGGCCACGUGACUGGAAAUACGCAAACUCAUUUACAAAGGCAUAUAGAAUACAAACAUUUCAGUAUUAAAGAAGGUAACUGGAAGCAAAUACGGAUAUUCUCUUACCAUUUCCAAGAACCUGAACAACACAACGGUCUAUUAACUUGAUUUAAGUGAUAGAAGGAAGCAUUCACUUCUCCGGUAUACAAGGAUGACUUUUCUAAUCCAUGUAGUGCAGACAUGGUUAAGAAUUACUUCCCACAGCACCAGGGCUAGUUAUAUUCACUCUUUCUCCUCAGUGUGCAGUUUCAAACACUUAUUACUUCACUGUUCCCCUUCCGCAAUCGGUGAUAUUUGUAUGCCUGAUAGCUGUGUUUGCUUUAAAGUAAUAGCUGUGAGGCGAGGUAAGCUGCCCUUCUGACCCACUGUGUAAUUGUACAAGUGUUUGUGCAGCAAUAACCCGUCAUAGCCAUAAAGCAGCAUUUCUCUAAUUGGCGCCUGCUGAAUGCACCAGCACCCUCUGCAAACACUGUGGCUUUUUAUUGGCAACCUCUCCAUCUGCCUCGCUCUCCUUAGCGUGGAAUCUCCCUUCCAUCAUUAGAGAAGAACAGUCAUGACAAUACUAUUUAUUUCAUAUUGAGUGUCAGCAAAAGCUGGUAAAGAUUAGCUUUAAAAGAUUGAGUAGUAUCAACAGCUGCCUUGGGAAUUCGUUAGGGAAAAGGGAACAGUUCUGACCUUUGAGUCCGUGUUUCAGCGCCUUUCUGAUAUGCGUCAGAACAAAAGUUCAAGUUGUGCCUCACUUUGCUUUGUCACACCUUGAUGCAUGUAAAGCAGAGGACAGGAAUUUGGGAGAAGCCAGGCUGAGGCUCAUCUCCUUACCUUCAGAGCUGCCGUACCAACUGAUGUUGGCACAGAUUUCUGACUGGCUUUUGUAUAUGGAAAUCGAAGUCCCUGGAGGAAGCAAGGGGUUUCAUGCUGUGGGCUGACAUUUGACCUCCCAAUGGAGGGACAGCAGAUGGCAGGACCUCACAGACUCAUUUCUGUCUCCUCUAUCCCUGAACAAACACAGUCACAAAGGAGCAUACAAGAGAAAAUCUCUUCAGAAAUGUGCAUUCACUUCACUGACUAGAAGUAUAAAUACGUACAGAAAAAGAAAGGCUUCGCGGAGUCCAUCCACUAUAGAAUGAGUUUGUAGAAACAAAGUGACUAUCUGAAAAGGGAUUUCAUUUUUUUAGUCAAAAUUUGCAAUUGGCAAUUGCAAUUGGGUAGCAACUGGCUUGAGAAGAAGAAAGGCCAAAUAAGUUUCUGGAAAACUCAAUGCUAAAAGCCAGUCAGCCAAAAGACAAAGUCAAGAUACAAAACUACAGACAUUGGACAAACUCCUCAGCAAUCCUGAAUUAGGGCCUUGUACUGCACUCCCGUUAUUAGUGAUUUGCAGUACCAAGUAAAUCCCUCAUAAGGAUAUUUUUUAAGUACCCCUUCACUGUCCUGACUUUAUCAAGGCUCCAGAGGAUGUCAGUGUGGAGUAUUUCUUUCUCACCUCUUUUACCUCUUGUUUCAAAGUCAGCCACAAUUCCCUGUGAAGGGUCAGGUCAGGGUCUGCCUGGAGAAGAUUUCAACCUGGACGGGAAGGGAACAGAAUCCCUUUACCCGGAGUAACUCUGUCCCUAACCCGCUGCCACUUCGGGAUUCGUGUGCAUCUUUGCAUCUGUGGAGCAGCGUCUGGCUCCAGCUGGGCUGAGUCACCAGCAGCACACAGCUUAUGGAGCAAUGCAAGGUCCUGCAUGAAAAAUGCUCACUUCGUGGCACUUGAGAGAAAUACUUCCACAAGCAAAAUUCCUACAGGAAUUACAGUGCUGUGCAUAUAUAGGAAACAAAACAGAAGACAAAGAAAAGACAUCACCAUGAUUUAUAGGAGUUGCUGUCGGGCUACCAAGAUAAAGAAGGUGCCUUUCCCCUCUGUCACAUACAGACAUCACUUGCAGCAUCUUCAUUCUUUCUCCGACACAUUCAAAUAAAUGUGUGCAUUCUUUCCAAACUAAUUAUAUUCCAAGCAACAUUUAGAAGUCAGUCAAGUUCCUGACAGCAUGGUCUUGGAUCUCAGACUGUUUUAGGAAAGUCGCUGGCUGCUUAUAGGAAGAAGGACAGAUGGACAGAGGUUUCAGUACCAGGGCCCUCACACGCAGAGCAUGCAGGAAGCACUUCAGCAUUAUCUAAGCCCAUUAAUUUCCAGUAUUGUACAGACUUACCACUAAAAAGAAUAUAUACGUGUAUAUAUGUGUGUGUUUAUAUAUAUACGCAUAUGGAAGGCUAUUCAUUGACCUUAUCAAGAUUAAAUGGAAAAAAAUGAAAUACCAAUAAUCGCUUUUUUCACUUUUCCAACUUUUCUUUAUGCAUUAUUUUCCGUGUAAUCUUUCACUGCAUCGCUUUUCUUUCUCUUGGCUCUUCAUUACUCCACUCACUACAAACAUCACCAGUGUUUAGGAGUGACUCCUUCCUUUCCCCUGCAAUCAAAUUAACAUCAAAAUGAAGCAAUGGCUAAUCCAUGUUUCCUCCACAACACCUGAAAAAUCAUGAAACAAAACCCAAAAUAAACUGAAGAAACUAUCAUCUAAGCUUCUCCCCACACAAGUUGACUAAAACUGGAGUUGCUUUGCAUCUAAGAACUGGUUCAGUUGUUUUAAUGGGGUUUAUGGAAAUAGAAAGACCAUCUUGCGAGAUCAAGUAUUUACGACUAUAAGACGAUUUUCAACACAAUCCAAAGACACUAUGUUCCCU